AUUGAGGAGAUUCAUUUUUGGAUUUAACGUUUCUUUGAAGAUUUCUUUAAGAUUUCAGAGGCUUGCCAUAUUGUGUGGUGUUGUGUUUAGUUGUGAUAAUUUCAAUGGAAAAAAGAAGAAGAUUCUUCUCUCCAGAUUGACCUUGGUAGUACUGUGUGGAAGUCUACAGACAGGGUAAGAGUUCUUUUGAUCUUCAGGCAUAUCAAAACUUAAGAUACCGACAAAAUUGGGUGGAAAUUUCUAUAUACAAAGACAUAUGGAAUUUUCUUUACUUGACCAUCCUUCUAGCUUCCCACUUCCAUCCAACAAAUUCAGAAAACAUCCUCAAUCUUUGGCAAGUACUCAACAUGUCUCCCAUCUCACCAUUACUAGCUCAAUUGAUAGGGUAAUCUCUCAAUCAACAUAAAAAAUAAUUUAUACUUAGUUUGAUCAUGUUCUAAUAGAAUUCGUCAAAGUAAUCAAAACACACACAUAUGAGGAUUUUUUUCGGUUGUAUCUUGGGUUAUGUUAGGGUAGGACAUUUUUGGGAAAGUAGGUUUAAACCUUUGAACUUAGGUGCCUAGUUCUCCUUUUGUUAUCAUCCCACUUAUUUCCUUAUUAAUGGUACUAGAGAUCUUGUUAUUGUGGUCCUCAAUAUUCAUCUUGCGUUCUUUUUUUUUUUUUAAGAUGUUAAUUGUUAACUCCUUAUUUUUUCAAAUUUUUUGAAUUUAUUAUCAUUUUUUCUCUAGUACCCCAAACUUAAACUUUGUUGACUUCUAAGAGCAACCCCAAACUUAUUCAUUUUCAUACAACUUUAGAACUAAACAUUUCUACCUAACUCCAACUUUAGAACUCAAGAUCAAGUUUUAUUCAGAUUUCAAAAGAUUCAUUCAUUAUUCAAAUAUUCAAAGCUUGGAUUUUGGAGGGAAAAACCAGAUUAAAAAUUCUUGAGAAAAUAAGAAGUUAAAAAUAACUUUAAAAAAAAGAGAAAAAGAAUGCAAAAUGAAUAUGGAGGACCACAAUAGCAAUAUCUCUAGUAUCGUUAAUCAGGAAAAAAAUUGGUAUGAUAACAAUAGGAGAACUAGGUACCUAACUCCAAAGGUUUAAACCUACUUUCCCAAAAAUGUCCUACUUAAACAUAAGCCAAGUUACAACCGAAAAAUCCCCCAAGUGUGUGUGUGUUUUGAUUUCUUUAAAGAAUUCUAUUAGAAUAUGAUCAAGCUCGGUAUAAACUAUUUUGCCUAUUGAUUGAGAGAUUAUCUUGUCAAUUGAGUGAGUCAUGGUGAGAUGAGAAACAAGUUGAGUACUUGUCAAAGAUUGAGGAUGUUUUUUGAAUUUAAUGGAUUGUAGUUGGAAUCUAGAAUGGUAGUGAGGUAAAAAAAAGUUCAUAUGGUGAUGUUCACUUGUUAUUACGGAAACUUGUUUUUCUGUUUGGAAUUUGUAAUGCAGACAAGUUACUUAAUGAGAAGCACCAGUUCAAGUUUAGGAUUGUGAUGACAUUUUGUCAUUGUAUGUUCUUUUGUCGAAGAAACAUAGCAAAAUACGUCAAAGAUGAGCAAAAAUGAUGAAUAAAGACCAAAGAAGUAUGCAAAAAUGAUCAAGUAUGAAGAAAUAAAGACUUGGUGAAAAUAUUAUGGAAAAGGAGCAAAACCGUGUAGCUACUAGAAUAAUCACGCGCAACAUCGCGCACGUGAUAGAGAUGUAUAGUUAUCAUCGCGCACAGGAUGAAGGUUAUCACACACGCGGCAGGUCCUUUUCUAGGACUAUUCGGACGCGUUUUAGACUGAUUUGAUAACUUUAUAAGGGAGUUUUGGGCAUCUUUUCAAGGGUUCUACAAUUUUGACUAAAAAGGACGGUAAAGAGCAUCAAGAGGGAGAUUUUGAGAGCAUUGGAAGCCAUUAGAGGCUAGUCCUUCAAGUAUUCUCAUAUGCAAUCUUCAUUUUAUUGCUUGGUAUUUAUCUAUAUCGUUAUGAGUAGCUAAAUUUCUCUAAGUUAGGUUUUGUGUGAUGAACUUACUUUGAACUUGUUCAGACAUAUGUUUGAUUUGUCAGUGCAUGAAUAAUUGAAGUUAUAUUUCUAUUUAAUUACCUAUUAUGUUUAAUGAUUUUAUGUGAGAUACUCUUUUAAUAUGAUUAUGGACAUAUAUGGAAUACUGACCAUUAAUCUAUAUGUUGGAACUAAGACAAUUAUUGUACUUAUUCUAGUUGAAUAGGGAUAAGAGACAUCUAGUAGUGGCAUUUGAGUUAGCGUAUUAUUGUAUUGCCUAAUUUCACUUACGCGAGUUGAAUAUGGAUAAGAGACCUAUAGUAGGAAGUAUUGAGCUAUACACCAAGGGAUUGAGUAUAGUGAUUUUGUUAAUUCAUCAUAGAAAUAUAACGACUUUCUCAUUUAUGUAAUACAUCAAACAUCAACAGGGGAUAAAUAAGGGAUUCUAUACAAAACCUUA
rnacentral:lncRNA from 1 species